rnacentral:rRNA from 1 species
CUCAGGACGAACGCUGGCGGCGUGCCUAAUACAUGCAAGUCGAGCGAGGGUUUUCGGACCCUAGCGGCGGACGGGUGAGUAACACGUAGGCAACCUGCCUCUCAGACCGGGAUAACAUAGGGAAACUUAUGCUAAUACCGGAUAGGUUUUUGGAUUGCAUGAUCCGAAAAGAAAAGAUGGCUUCGGCUAUCACUGGGAGAUGGGCCUGCAGCGCAUUAGCUAGUUGGUGGGGUAACGGCCUACCAAGGCGACGAUGCGUAGCCGACCUGGGAGGGUGACCGGCCACACUGGGACUGAGACACGGCCCAGACUCCUAUGGGAGGCUGCAGUAGGGAAUUUUCCACAAUGGACGAAAGUCUGAUGGAGCAACGCCGCGUGAACGAUGAAGGUCUUCGGAUUGUAAAGUUCUGUUGUCAGGGACGAACACGUGCCGUUCGAAUAGGGCGGUACCUUGACGGUACCUGACGAGAAAGCCACGACUAACUACGUGCCAGCAGCCGCGGUAAUACGUAGGUGGCAAGCGUUGUCCGGAUUUAUUGGGCGUAAAGCGCGCGCAGGCGGCUAUGUAAGUCUGGUGUUAAAGCCCGGAGCUCAACUCCGGUUCGCAUCGGAAACUGUGUAGCUUGAGUGCAGAAGAGGAAAG